rnacentral:rRNA from 1 species
AUUGAACGCUGGCGGCAGGCCUAACACAUGCAAGUCGAGCGGAUGAAGGGAGCUUGCUCCUGGAUUCAGCGGCGGACGGGUGAGUAAUGCCUAGGAAUCUGCCUGGUAGUGGGGGAUAACGUCCGGAAACGGGCGCUAAUACCGCAUACGUCCUGAGGGAGAAAGUGGGGGAUCUUCGGACCUCACGCUAUCAGAUGAGCCUAGGUCGGAUUAGCUAGUUGGUGGGGUAAAGGCCUACCAAGGCGACGAUCCGUAACUGGUCUGAGAGGAUGAUCAGUCAAACGGGAACUGAGACACGGUCCAAACUCCUAGGGGAGGCAGCGGGGGGGAAUUUUGGAAAAGGGGCGAAACCCUGACCCAGCCAUGCCGCGGGGGUGAAAAAGGUCUUCGGAUUGUAAAGCACUUUAAGUUGGGAGGAAGGGCAGUAAGUUAAAACCUUGCUUUUUUGACGUUACCAACAGAAUAAGCACCGGCCAACUUCGU